GAGUUUGCUCAUGGCUCAGAGUGAACGCUGGCGGCGUGCUUAACACAUGCAAGUCGAACGAUGAAGCCUUUUCUAUCAUUUAUGGUAGGCUAGGUGGAUUAGUGGCGCACGGGUGAGUAAUAUAUAGUUAAUCUGCCUCUUAGUCUGGGAUAGCCAUUGGAAACGAUGAUUAAUACUAGAUACUCCUUCUAACUCUAAUGUUAGUUGGGAAAGGAACAUCUUUAUGGUGCUUCGCUAAGAGAUGAGACUAUAUCCCAUCAGCUUGUUGGUAGAGUAAGAGACUACCAAGGCAAUGACGGGUAUUGGGUUUGAGAGGAUGAUCCGCCACACUGGUACUGAGACACGGACCAGACUCCUACGGGAGGCAGCAGUGAGGAAUAUUGCACAAUGGGGGAAACCCUGAUGCAGCAACGCCGCGUGGAGGAUGACGCAUUUCGGUGUGUAAACUCCUUUUAUAAGGGAAGAAAAUGACGGUACCUUAUGAAUAAGCACCGGCUAACUCCGUGCCAGCAGCCGCGGUAAUACGGAGGGUGCAAGCGUUACUCGGAAUCACUGGGCGUAAAGGACGCGUAGGCGGGUUGGCAAGUCAGAUGUGAAAUCCUACAGCUUAACUGUAGAACUGCAUUUGAAACUGCUAACCUAGAGUAUGGGAGGGGGAGAUGGAAUUAGUGGUGUAGGGGUAAAAUCCGUAGAUAUCACUAGGAAUACCGAAAGCGAAGGCGAUCUCCUGGAACAUAACUGACGCUAAGGCGUGAAAGCGUGGGGAGCAAACGGGAUUAGAUACCCCGGUAGUC
rnacentral:rRNA from 1 species